GACGAACGCUGGCGGCGUGCCUAAUACAUGCCAGUCGAACGAGAGCGCCCGGUGCUUGCACUGGUCAAUCUAGUGGCGAACGGGUGAGUAACACGUGGGUAACCUGCCCAUCAGAGGGGGAUAACAUUCGGAAACGGAUGCUAAAACCGCAUAGGUCUUCGAACCGCAUGGUUUGAAGAGGAAAAGAGGCGCAAGCUUCUGCUGAUGGAUGGACCCGCGGUGCAUUAGCUAGUUGGUGAGGUAACGGCUCACCAAGGCCGUGAUGCAUAGCCGACCUGAGAGGGUGAUAGGCCACAUUGGGACUGAGACACGGCCCAAACGCCUAAGGGAGGCAGCAGUAGGGAAUCUUACGCAAUGGACGCAAGUCUGACGGAGCAACGCCGCGUGAGUGAAGAAGGUUUUCGGAUCGUAAAACUCUGUUGUUAGAGAAGAAUAAGUGCUAGAGUAACUGUUAGCGCCUUGACGGUAUCUAACCAGAAAGCCACGGCUAACUACGUG
rnacentral:rRNA from 1 species